UACAGAGGUCUCAAGCGUUGUUCGGAUUCAUUGGGCGUAAAGGGUGCGUAGGCGGCGCGGUAAGUCGGGUGUGAAAUCUGGAGCUUAACUCCGAAACUGCAUUCGAUACUGCCGUGCUUGAGGACUGGAGAGGAGACUGGAAUUACGGUGUAGCGUGAAAUGCGUAGAUAUCGUGAGGAAGACCAGUGGCGAAGGCGGGUCUCUGGACAGUUCCUGACGCUGAGGCACGAAGGCCAGGGGAGCAAACGGG
rnacentral:rRNA from 1 species